rnacentral:lncRNA from 1 species
GCCUGGAAUGUCACAUAUGGUCAGUUGGAGAGAUGGCCUGGAAGGCAGUUCGAGAGGUGGCCUGGAAGACAGUUGGAGAAGUGGCUUUGGAGGCAGCUGGGGAGAUGAACUGGAAGGCAGUUGGAGAGGUGGCCUGGGAGGCAGCUGGAGAGGUGGCCAGGGAGGCAGUUGGAGAGGUGGCCAGGAAGGCAGUUGGAGAGAUGGCCUGGAAGGCAGUUGGAGAGAUGGCCUGGAAGGCAGCUGGAGAGGUGGCCUGGAAGGCAGCUGAAGAAGUGGCUUUGGAGGCAGCAGUUGUGAGAUGGCCUGGAAGGCAGUUGUAGGUGGCCUGGAAGGCAGUUGGAGAGAAGGCCUGGAAGUCAGCUGGAGAGGUGGCCUGGGAGGCAGCUGGAGAGCUGGCCUAGGAGGCAGCUGGAGAUGUGGCCUGGAAGGCAGCUGAAGAAGUGGCUUUGGAGGCAGCAGUUGUGAGAUGGCCUGGAAGGCAGUUGUAGGUGGCCUGGAAGGCAGUUGGAGAGAUGGCCUGGAAGUCAGCUGGAGAGGUGGCCUGGGAGGCAGCUGGAGAGGUGGCCUAGGAGGCAGCUGGAGAGGUGGCCUGGGAGGCAGUUGGAGAGGUGGCCUGGAAGGCAGUUGGAGAGGUGGCCUGGAAAGCAGUUGGAGAGGUGGCCUGGGAGGCAGUUGGAGAGGUGGCCUGGAAGGCAGCUGGAGUGGUGGUCUUGAUAGCUGUGGGCACAAUGGCCUGAGCGGUGUCUGUAGAGGUGACCUGGGAGGCAGCUGACAAGACCAGUGUGUCAGCUGGAGCAGGGGUCAUGGUCUUUCCGGGCUUCAUCCUCAAACAGUCAUCACUGGCUGAGUUCACCAUUUUCUUCAAUGGCCCGUACACGCUCCUGUCCAGUAGCUUCCUUCUCUCUUUGUAGCAUCUGUACAGAGUGACAUGACAUAUGCCGUACAACUUUGAUCUGAUUGACUUCCCCUGCUCUGCUACAUGAUCUGCUACAUCCUUUUUCAAACUGUGGAGAGGUACUCCACUGUCUGUCUUUCUUUUUCAUGACCUUGUCAUGGUGAAAGUAUAAGAAAACAUGUACCAAAAACAUUAUGUUUUACUCAGGGUUCGGUGUAAGAUUUCCUCACAAGUUGUUACAACUAGGGCCUCCCAAGUGGCACCACUACAGAUCCGGGUUCGAACCCGGGCUGUGUCGCA